GGGCCGGGGCUCCGGACUGCCGGCGUGAGGGUAAAGAAUGAAACCUGGUCAGGUACUGGGUGAUAUCUUGGUAGCAGCUAAAGCGACUGCUUUGGCACUGAAAUUAAUGGGGCUGCUGCUGCCCGUGAGCUUGGGAUAAAAGAAAAAGUAGAAGUAGUCCAAGAAUCUGGUGAUCAUCAUGGUGGAGAAAUUCCACAGCUGGUGUCUAUGCAAAGAAGGAGCCUCGCUGAGCUGAAGAAAAUGGAACAAAGUCAAGAAAAACGUGACAACCUGUGUGAGAAAACCAGCCUUUCCCUUGGAAUCCCAGUCUCUUUCUACAUGUGCAGAGGUCAGAUCUUCUCAAGUAGUGGUGGUAUGAAGGAACCUGUAUUGUAAAUAAAUUGGCUGGAGUAUCUCAGAAUCUUUGGUUAGCAAGCAGCAGCUGGAGAGAAAUAAAUUUUGUUCACCAGGAGAGGGCUCUCACAGUCUUCUGUUAUUACUGAACUUGGGAGCAGAAAGACCAGAAGGUGAAGCUACAGAAAAAGUCAUGCAAGACCUGCUCAAAUCAGGUUAUGUCCACUAGUGUGCUAUAGAUACCAUAAAUGUUAAUCUUACAUAAAUAAGACUGAUUAUA